AACAUUUAAGAUCAAACCAGUGAUCUAGCUAGAGAGUACUGAAGUACAUAGAAGGGACUUCACUUAUUAGUUCUCUUCCAUACAUUGAUACAUCAUACAUACAUCAUUCAAGACAGGACGGUGUAAAGCUUGAGAUGGUGUCAAGCAUUUCGUCAGAGCACUAGUCUUUAGUACCACACUUGGCACUAUACAAAUAUUUUUAAAAAACAAAAAAAAAAAGUGUUACGUAUAUGUAUUUUAGUGAAGAAACGAACACUAUUGUGCCGAA
rnacentral:lncRNA from 1 species